ACGGAGGGUGCGAGCGUUGUUCGGAUUUAUUGGGCGUAAAGCGCGCGCAGGCGGAAAGAUAAGUCAGAUGUGAAAUCUCGGGGCCUAACUCCGAAAGUGCGUCUGAAACUGUUUUUCUAGAAUGCCGGAGGGGGAUGGGGAAUUUCUCAUGUAGGGGUAAAAUCCGUAGAGAUGAGAAGGAACACCCGUGGCGAAGGCGCCAUCCUGGACGGUGAUUGACGCUGAGGCGCGAAGGCGUGGGGAUCAAACAG
rnacentral:rRNA from 1 species